UACGUAGGGUGCGAGCGUUGUCCGGAAUUAUUGGGCGUAAAGAGCUCGUAGGCGGUGUGUCGCGUCGGCCGUGAAAACCUGCAGCUUAACUGUGGGCGUGCGGUCGAUACGGGCAUCACUGGAGUUCGGCAGGGGAGACUGGAAUUCCUGGUGUAGCGGUGAAAUGCGCAGAUAUCAGGAGGAACACCGUGGCGAAGGCGGCUCGUGGGACCGUAACUGACGCUGAGGAGCGAAAGCUGGGGAGCAACAGG
rnacentral:rRNA from 1 species